rnacentral:RNase_P_RNA from 1 species
CGGAUAAUCGCUAAGGAAACUUAGAGGAAAGUCCAUGCUCACACAGUCUGAGAUGAUUGUAGUGUUCGUGCUUGACGAAACAAUAAGUCAAGGUAGCAAUUUUUGCUAACGGCAGUUUAACUUUCUAAGUCGUAAGAUAUGAAAGAAAACUUGAAAGUGCCACAGUGACGAUGUUUUACGGAAACGUAAAAAGUGGAACGGGUAAACCCCUCGAGUGAGCAAUCCAAAUUUGGUAGGAGCACUUUUUCUCUGGAAUUCAACAGAAGAAAGAGAUAUUACGUAAGUAAUAUAGACAGAUGAUUAUCGCUAUUGUGUGAGUGUAAUCUAGUGCACGUUAGAACACAUUAGUACAGAACAUGGCUUAUAG